rnacentral:tRNA from 1 species
GCCCCAGUGGCACAAUGGGUCAGUGCAUCUGGCUGUUAACCAGAAGGUUGGUUGUUCAAACCCACCCAGGGGCA